ACAUUCACACUCAGCGAUGUUGUCAUACACGGGGCUGAAGGUCACACCAGAAUCACAAUUAAGCUGAAUGCGAAUCUUCUCAAAUCUUGAGGGUCUGCAGCAGUAGCAAGUGGAAACAUACUUGGCUUGUCUCCCUGUGUGAAUUAGAAGCAGAUGAACAUUGUACAUACCUUGUCCCUUGAAGUCUGUGGAUGAGUCACAGUGGCCAGAACACAUCCUGAAGUCAGGCACAGGGUUAGGGUUCCUGCAGGUGCCCACUCGCCAUGUGGACAGUUGGAAGAGUCCUACUGUGUCCAUGAGUGGAAUAGCCUUAGGUUGGCAGUCUCCUGGUUACAUAAAGAAAAGAGACCAGAUGGACCCUGUAAAAGUGAUUGUAACCCCACACUAGUAGUCUACGCUGGAAGUAGACUAUAGAGGCUGACCUGAGGUAGUGGCAGCUGUCAGGGGGGGGGUUGAACUGGAGUUGCGAC